rnacentral:rRNA from 1 species
ACAGGAAACUGGGGCUAAUACCGGAUAGGAGCUCCUGCUGCAUGGUGGGGGUUGGAAAGUUUCGGCGGUUGGGGAUGGACUCGCGGCUUAUCAGCUUGUUGGUGGGGUAGUGGCUUACCAAGGCUUUGACGGGUAGCCGGCCUGAGAGGGUGACCGGCCACAUUGGGACUGAGAUACGGCCCAG